GCUGAUUUCUGAGGGUUGCCAAAUUUAAUGGAGGAUCGAAGACGAAAGCUAACGAAGAAGAAGGCCCUGUGAUUUUGCGAUCUGCGACGGUGGUGGACUGACAGUCGGAGCAGAGCUCUGCUCUUUAUUAUUGUAGGUGCGAGUGAAGGCCCUGUUCUUGCACCAACUCAGGAAGACUUGUUGAGUUGACUCGAUGCGGUCCAUUUGCUAGCUGUGACAACACAUAAAUGAAGUCCCAUAAAGAAUGGAGAUAUGUAAUUCUCAAAAUUCUUGUUACUAAUGGAUGCAAAACUGAAUAUGUACUGCAACAGUGCCAUUGGCACUCUCCUGAACUGAAUAUGUACUGCAACAGUGCCACUGGCACUCUCCUCAGAGGACACCAUCAAUGGGAAGAGG